rnacentral:rRNA from 1 species
UACGGAGAGUGCAAGCGUUGUUCGGAAUUAUUGGGCGUAAAGCGCGUGUAGGCGGCUUGAUAAGUCUGGCGUGAAAGCCUGAAGCUCAACUUCAGAAGUGCGCUGGAAACUAUCGAGCUUGAGUACUGGAGGGGGAAGGGGAAUUCUCGGGUGUAGAGGUGAAAUUCGUAGAUAUCCGGAAGAACAUCAGUGGCGAAGGCGCCUUCCUGGACAGAUACUGACGCUGAGACGCGAAAGCGUGGGGAGCAAACAGG